AGAGUUUGAUCCUGGCUCAGGAUGAACGCUAGCGGGAGGCCUAAUACAUGCAAGUCGAGCGGUUCAGCAAUGGAUAGCGGCAGACGGGUGCGUAACGCGUAUGAAACUUACCCUACACAGGAGGAUAGCCUUGGGAAACUGAGAGUAACCCUCCAUAGUCUUGUAAUGCCGCAUGGUAUAAUAAGUAAAACUUCGGUGGUGUAGGAUAGUCGUGCGUCCGAUUAGCUAGUUGGUGAGGUAAUGGCUCACCAAGGCGACGAUCGGUAGCUGGUCUGAGAGGAUGAUCAGCCACACGGGCACUGAGACACGGGCCCGACUCCUACGGGAGGCAGCAGUAAGGAAUAUUGGACAAUGGACGGAAGUCUGAUCCAGCCAUCCCGCGUGGAGGAAUAAGGCCCUAUGGGUUGUAAACUCCUUUAGCAGGGGAAUAAAAAGGUCAUUUAUGAUCAAUUGAAGGUACCCUGAGAAUAAGCACCGGCUAACUCCGUGCCAGCAGCCGCGGUAAUACGGAGGGUGCAAGCGUUAUCCGGAUUUACUGGGUUUAAAGGGUGCGUAGGCGGACUAUUAAGUCAAAUGUGAAAGCUUGCAG
rnacentral:rRNA from 1 species